GAUGAACGCUGGCGGCGUGCCUAAUACAUGCAAGUCGAGCGAACAGACGAGGAGCUUGCUCCUCUGACGUUAGCGGCGGACGGGUGAGUAACACGUGGAUAACCUACCUAUAAGACUGGGAUAACUUCGGGAAACCGGAGCUAAUACCGGAUAAUAUAUUGAACCGCAUGGUUCAAUAGUGAAAGACGGUUUUGCUGUCACUUAUAGAUGGAUCCGCGCCGCAUUAGCUAGUUGGUAAGGUAACGGCUUACCAAGGCAACGAUGCGUAGCCGACCUGAGAGGGUGAUCGGCCACACUGGAACUGAGACACGGUCCAGACUCCUACGGGAGGCGGCAGUAGGGAAUCUUCCGCAAUGGGCGAAAGCCUGACGGAGCAACGCCGCGUGAGUGAUGAAGGUCUUCGGAUCGUAAAACUCUGUUAUUAGGGAGGAACAAAUGUGUAAGUAACUAUGCACGUCUUGACGGUACCUAAUCAGAAAGCCACGGCUAACUACGUG
rnacentral:rRNA from 1 species